CGGGAGGCAGCAGUGGGGAAUCUUGGACAAUGGGCGCAAGCCUGAUGCAGCAACGCCGCGUGAGGGAUGAAGGCCUUCGGGUUGUAAACCUCUUUUAGCAGGGAAGAAGCGAAAGUGACGGUACCUGCAGAAAAAGCACCGGCUAACUACGUGCCAGCAGCCGCGGUAAUAA
rnacentral:rRNA from 1 species